rnacentral:rRNA from 1 species
UACGUAGGGUGCAGGCGUUAAUCGGAAUUACUGGGCGUAAAGCGUGCGCAGGCGGUUGUGCAAGACCGAUGUGAAAUCCCCGGGCUCAACCUGGGAAUUGCAUUUGCGACUGCACGGCUAGAGUGUGUCAGAGGGGGGUAGAAUUCCACGUGUAGCAGUGAAAUGCGUAGAGAUGUGGAGGAAUACCGAUGGCGAAGGCAGCCCCCUGGGAUAACACUGACGCUCAUGCACGAAAGCGUGGGGAGCAAACAGG